ACUCGAGUGGCGAACGGGUGAGUAACACGUGGGUGAUCUGCCCUGCACUUUGGGAUAAGCCUGGGAAACUGGGUCUAAUACCGAAUACUCCCUACUGGUUGCAUGGCCUGGUAGGGGAAAGCUUUUGCGGUGUGGGAUGGGCCCGCGGCCUAUCAGCUUGUUGGUGGGGUGAUGGCCUACCAAGGCGACGACGGGUAGCCGGCCUGAGAGGGUGUCCGGCCACACUGGGACUGAGAUACGGCCCAGACUCCUACGGGAGGCAGCAGUGGGGAAUAUUGCACAAUGGGCGCAAGCCUGAUGCAGCGACGCCGCGUGGGGGAUGACGGCCUUCGGGUUGUAAACCCCUUUCAAUAGGGACGAAGCGCAAGUGACGGUACCUAUAGAAGAAGCACCGGCCAACUACGUGCCAGCAGCCGCGGUAAUACGUAGGGUGCGAGCGUUGUCCGGAAUUACUGGGCGUAAAGAGCUCGUAGGUGGUUUGUCGCGUUGUCCGUGAAAACUCACAGCUUAACUGUGGGCGUGCGGGCGAUACGGGCAGACUGGAGUACUGCAGGGGAGACUGGAAUUCCUGGUGUAGCGGUGGAAUGCGCAGAUAUCAGGAGGAACACCGGUGGCGAAGGCGGGUCUCUGGGCAGUAACUG
rnacentral:rRNA from 1 species